GUCACGACCACGCAGCGCGUGCUCAUCCUGAGACUCAACCGAGACGUUGACUGUGAGUGCCGUUCGUUGAGUGAGCUGACGAAUUUGGGAGAGAGCCUCGUGAGUUGUUGAGAGAGAGAGAGGAGCUGCUUCAACCAUGUAAGCCCUCUGUUAGACUCCGACUGGUUUUUUUUUGGACUUCAGAUUAGGAACGGGUUCAGAUUUCCGAACCUUUGGUUGGUGGCGAGCCAGGACCCUGAUUAAGAGGAGCGGAGCGCGGUGU